AACGAACGCUGGCGGCGUGCCUAACACAUGCAAGUCGUGCGAGAAAGUUCCUCCGGGAGCGAGUAAAGCGGCGCACGGGUGAGUAACACGUAGGUAACCUGCCCCCCAGUCUGGAACAACUAGAGGAAACUCUAGCUAAUGCCGGAUAAGACCACGGCCCCCUCGGGGGCUGCGGCCAAAGAUGGCCUCUACUUGUACGCUAUCGCUGAGGGAUGGGCCUGCGGGCCAUUAGCUUGUUGGUGAGGUAACGGCUCACCAAGGCUGUGAUGGCUAGCUGGUCUGAGAGGAUGACCAGCCACACUGGGACUGAGACACGGCCCAGACUCCUACGGGAGGCAGCAGUGGGGAAUAUUGCGCAAUGGGCGAAAGCCUGACGCAGCGACGCCGCGUGGGUGAUGAAGGCCU
rnacentral:rRNA from 1 species